AUACACAAAGUUUCAAUGGAUUCAUCUGGGUUAAAAUUGCAAUUGUAAUUGCAAAUGAAAUCAUCACUAUCACACAGUUAUCUCUGUUCUCCUGAUACCCUUUUCACCAACAAUUCAAAACACUCCAAUUCCAUCAUUUUCACAAACCAUUUCACCAAAAACUUUGUUAGAAACCUUCAAUGUUGAUGUUCAUAGAGUAGAAAAUAG
rnacentral:lncRNA from 1 species